GUUUUAAUACAUAUAUUUUCUAAAUUUCGCAAGUAUUAUGAAUUGUGGUACAUAAGCAUAAAUUUAUUUUAUUUAUUUUUCUAAAACACUUAUAAGUAAAAUGUCAAAAGUAAAAUAUGUUUUGUAUGGGAUUGCAGCGAUACACUUUGCAGUAUUGCUAAUUGAGCCAAUAUUGGACUACCAGAUAAAAAAGUUGCAAAAUAGAAUUACGGCUAGGGAACUCUUAUUAAUACAAAGAGCAAUGGCUUAUCGUUACCAGCAUGUUGCAAAUGAUCCACGAAUUGCGGUUGAAAUGAUAGAGCCACCACUACCAGAACAAUAAAAAGUUAAAAAAUUUUCGCAACCAUUGAACCAUAGAUCUAUAUGUAUAUAUGUAUUUAGUGCAUCAAGAGAGAAUUCUAACAGAGAAACAAAAGCAGCAAGCAAUAUCGGAGUGAUCCUUUAGAAACCCAUUGUUUUGUAAUGUCAUCUGAUGCUUCCUGAAGACCUUAUCACAAAUGCUUCGAGCUGUAUUUUUCGAGUUGUUGAAAACUUCCACCGUUUCAGUGUUCUAGUACUUAAACCGUACAUCGAAUAGUGCUUGAGAGUUUGUUGUUUCCCGUAUUUGUAUUAAAUAAAAUAAAAUCAAAAUGGAAUCUCGAGAAGCUUUGCUGCUCCAGUAGCUCGAAUAUCUACGAAUGUCUCGAGCUUUUCUGAAUAUUUGAAUUGUUCGAAUUCGAAAAUACUCGAUCUACUCCAGCAGUUUGGUGUUCGAACAUUUUAAAGCACAUAGUAUAUAGCCUAUAAAUACCUCGGACUUAACUCAUCUUUAUCAGUGUAAUCUAUAUCAAUAAAUUGCAGUAAUUAUAU